AGGCCACUAGCUCAAUAUGGUAGAGCAGCGGACUCCAAAUCCGCCGGUUGGGGGUUCGACUCCCUCGUGGCCUGCCA
rnacentral:tRNA from 1 species